UGGGGUCGUAUGGGAUCUUUGCGGUCUUGAGAAUAAAAUCAUAUCCAUUGAGAGAAUGUUACAGUAUGCAUGCAUCCCUAGUGAACCCCCUUUGUUGGUAGAAGAAAAUAGACUAGGAAGUGACUGGCCAUCACAAGGGAAAAUUGAUAUUGUUGAAUUGCAAGUCCGGUAUGCCCCACACCUUCCACUUGUGUUGCGAGGUCUCACAUGCACUUUUCCCGGAGGGAUUAAGAUUGGCAUCGUUGGGAGAACGGGGAGUGGUAAAUCAACUCUCAUACAAGCUCUCUUCUGCAUGCUUGAACCUAUAGCUGGUCAUAUUUAUAUAGAUGAUAUCAACAUCUCCAAGAUUGGCCUUCAUGACUUGCGAUCAGGAUUGAGCAUCAUCCCGCAAGAUCCAACAAUGUUUGAGGGGACUUUGAGGAAUAAUCUUGACCCGCUUGAAGAAUUCACUGAUGAACAGAUCUAGGAGGCUUUAGAUAGAUGCCAACUAGCUAAUGAAGUUAGAAAGAAGGAAGGGAAGCUUGAUUGUGCAGUGACUGAGAAUGGCGAGAAUUGGAGUAUGGGUCAAAGGCAGCUAGUUUGUUUAGGACGGGUAUUACUCAAGAAAAGCAAAGUGGUAGUACUCGAUGAAGCUACAGCAUCAGUGGAUACUGCAACUGAUUAUCAAAUUCAGCAAACUCUUAGGGAACACUUCUCAAGGUCUACUGUCAUCACAAUUGCGCAUAGAAUAACUUCAAUUCUUGAUGUUGACAAGGUUCUCCUUCUCGAUAAUGGCAUUGUACUAGAAUAUGAUUCUCCAGCCAAAUUGCUAGAGAUCAAGUCCUCAGCAUUUGCAAAGCUUGUUAAGGAGUAUAUUCGCAGAUGUAGUUCCUAGUUUUUUAAUCUAAAUAAAUGAGUUUUGAAUGUUCACAAGUAUGUAGGCUGCAUUAGAUCGAGGUGCAUAGAUAUUUUAAUUUAUUUAUUAAAAAACAAUUGUUAAGAGAAAAAGGUGGAAUAGAUA